rnacentral:rRNA from 1 species
UAAGCAUAUCACUGAGCGCAGGAGAAGAAACUAACCAGGAUUUCCCUAGUAACGGCGAGCGAACCGGAAAGAGCCCAGCUUGAAAAUCGUGGCGCCCCGGCGCCUCGAAUUGUAGUCUGGAGAAGGUCCCUCUGCGGCGCGCCGGAUUCAAGUUCCCUGGAAUGGGACGUCCGAGAGGGUGAGAACCCCGUCGUAUCCGGAGUGCGUCGCUCCACGAGGACCUGUCUGCGAGUCGGGCUGUUUGGGAAUGCAGCCCUAAGCGGGUGGUAAAUUCCAUCCAAGGCUAAAUAUUGGCAAGAGACCGAUAGCGAACAAGUACCGCGAGGGAAAGAUGAAAAGGACUUUGAAAAGAGAGUUAAAAAGUGCUUGAAAUUGCUGGGAGGGAAGCGAAUGGAAGCUGCGGGUGCGCCCCGGUUGGAUGCGGAACGGCCGUCAGACGCUGGUCCGCCGCUCAACGCGGGGCGCUGGUCAGCGUGGGCCAUCGCGGCGGGACAAGAGCGGGGAUUCGCUUCCCGCCGAUGCCGCCGCGGUGGCCGAGGAACGAAGCGCGCGCCUUCCGGCGUGGGACCCGUCCCAACUGCGCGCUCGAGACGCUGGCGUAUUGAGCUCUUCAUCCGACCCGUCUUGAAACACGGACCAAGGAGUCUAACAUGUAUGCGAGCCGGUGGGCGGCAAACCCAUUGAGGCGCAAGUAACCUGACAGGUGGGACCCCGACCGCAAGGGAGGGAGCACCAUCGACCGACCGUGAUCUUCUGUGAAGGGUUCGG